rnacentral:rRNA from 1 species
AGGAUAAACGCUGGCGGCGUGCCUUACGCAUGCAAGUCGAACGGUGUCCUUCGGGGCACAGUGGCGGACGGGUGAGUAACACGUACGUAACCUGCCGAUUUGUGGGGGAUACCGGUCCGAAAGGGUCGCUAAUACCGCAUACGUUCGCUCCGCGAGGGGUGAGGAAAGGGCUUCGGCCCGCAGAUUGAGGGGCGUGCGGCCGAUUAGCUUGUUGGUGGGGUAACGGCCUACCAAGGCGAUGAUCGGUAGCUGGGCUGAGAGGCCGAGCAGCCACACUGGGACUGAGACACGGCCCAGACUCCUACGGGAGGCAGCAGCGAGGAAUUUGCGCAAUGGGCGAAAGCCUGACGCAGCAACGCCGCGUGGGUGAGGAAGGCCUUCGGGUCGUAAAGCCCUUUUGUCGGGGACGAAUACUGACGGUACCCGACGAAGAAGCCACGGCUAACUACGUGCCAGCAGCCGC